CUAUCAAAUUAAUUCCCAAUUCCCAUCUAGGGUUUUCGCAUCCUCCCCCUCCCAUUCCCUCCGCCUCCCCUUCACCUUCUCCCACCAGUCCGCCGCCACCCGCGCCGCCCCUUCUGCAUGCCACCGCGCGCCGCCCUCGCCCCAGCCGUGUGCCCCUCGGCCCCCUUUCCUAGUGGCCGUGGCGUGGGUAAAGGACGCCGGAUUGAGCUUCGCCAGUCGCCCCAAGGCCAAGUUGCGCCCUGCCUCGCUAGAGUCCAGAUGGCCACCGCGAUUCAAACAAUCAGACGCCGGUCGCAGUAGCAGGAAAUGCGAGCCUUCCCUCUGCCUCAAUCGAUCUGGCGAAUGCUCUUCCCUUGCCUCAAUCGGUCCGGCGCGAGGCGAUUCAACGAUCAGACGCCGCAGUAGCAGGAAUCGCGAGCAGACGCGUCGGCGCCGCACACGCAUCAGGUCUGCCGGGAGCAGACCUCGUCCUCCGCUGAACUGAGCCACCUCCAUGUGAGGCCCUCACGCUAUUUUCUCCCCACAAUUUUUCCCUAUAAUUAAAUGAGUUUACAUUUUCAUUUUCCUGCCCUAAAGUAUUUGAAUAAUCAAAUUAUGGCUCCCUAGCAUCUGUACUGCAUUCAAAUUUUGGCUCCCUAGCAUCCUCAAACUAGGGCUCGAAUUAUCAAAUUUUGGCUCCCAAGUUUUCUGUUAGUGGCCUUUUUCCUUGAGUGAUAUUGAAGAAUCAUUUGUUUCUACCUGUUUCUUCAAUCUGCUAAAGUUGUUGUGGUAAUAAUAAAGUCAUUUAAGAUGCAUUAGAUUCUUCUUUGGAAUGAUUGCUAGAAAAGAGUAGUAUCGAUCUGUUGUUGGAUGUAUGCAAGAAGGAAUUGCAAAAUCUUGGAGGUUACUUAGUGAAUAUGCACAAGGUAACUAAUUUCUAUAUAUUACUUUACGUGUUGAGGAUGUGAUUUGAACACUAAGUUCUCACUCCAAUGUUGAGGCUGUAUUACCAACACCUUCCAAGAUAUCUUCAUGAGUAAGUGGUGGUAAGACUUGUGUCUCAUUCACCUCAAACAAGGUUUGUGCCUCAUUCUUCUUCUGCUCCAUUUACAGUCGGUGUUCCCAUAUGCUUUAUUUAUUAUGUGGUUUUAAGACUUGUGUUUAUCUGAAUGUUGUGUAAAAUAGUGUAUAUAGAUACUGACCAUCUUGAUUAUGGCAUACUUUGAGUGAUGGCAUUAUCAGUUGAAAAUAUGUGAAAGGCUGUUCAAUUCUGAAAAAAUGGUCUCUGUUAUGUGAUUGCUAUUAGAUAAUGUGUUUCUGCAGGCAAAUUCUAUCGGGAGGAGAAAAACUUGAUCGACUUGUAUGUUAUACUGCUAAGAUAUUCAAGUAACUUUUUGAAGCUUUCUGCAAUGGGAAGAAGACUAUCGAAAAUUGUAGCCAAAGAUCCCCCUUUCUUGCUUAGCUAAUGGCAUCCAGUAAGCAUGAUAAGGCUUUGAAUUCAACCUGGGGAAGAUGAAGAAGGAAGCCAUCCUUAUUAACUGCAGCAGAGAACAUGUGAAUGAUGAGGCUGUUCUUGUCGAUCACUUGAGAGUUAAUCCUAUGUUUCGAGUUAGUCUUGAUGUCUUUAAUGGCUAUGAAUAGUUAUUUUGAUGAUACAAUGUUUGGAUGAUUAAGUAUUUAUAUAAUAUAUUUUGGUUGUAGUA